UUAGGGAUAUUUAGUGUCUCCAGUGCCAGGCACGAUGCCUAGGACAUAGCAGGUGGCAGCACCAGCUGCAAAGUGGUUUGCUACUGCUUAGGCUGAAUCACGAUCCUCGGAGAUAUCCUCCUCUUAAGCCCAGUAAUUGGAGAUUAUGUUAUCUUGGAUGGUAAAAGGGACUUUGCAGAUGGGAUUUAGUUAAGGAACUUAAAGUGGAGAGAUUAUCUCGAAGGCUCUGGUGUAUCCUCAUGUGGCUGGAUGCACUUGCUGCAUCCUUAAAAGAAGGAGGUGGAGAGGAGGUGAGUGGUGAUGGAAGCGGAGAUCAGAACGAUGCAUUUACAGUGCUCAAAAGGUGCCGGUGGAGGAAACGAACACAGGAGCUCAGCAAUCAAGACUCAGCCACAAGUCCCCAAGAGCUAACUUCAGAAGCCUGGGUCCCUUCUGAGCUGGUGGAAGAGGCCACAGCUGAGGAACGCAGGUGGCCACUAGAAGCUGAAAAAGCCAAGGAAACUGACUCACCUUCUUUCCUCCCUUUCCCACUCAAGGAAAGACCAUGCCCAGAGGCAUCUGCCUUCGGUUGCCUCCUGUUCCAGAGAAGCCUGGGAGGAUGAGGUAUCUCCUCCACACUGUACCAGAUGGUCUUCCUUAAAAGCAAGCCCCUAGUUCCCAAAAGACUCCAAAUGGCCUUGACCCCUUCAGCUGCUGCUGGGUGGAACCACGCUGCCCGUCUUCUAGGACCUACACUUUUUAUUUCCCAUGACUGAAAGCUGCUGACACCAUGGAACCAUCAUGAGCACCUGGUCACCCGUUUGAAAGCGGCUGCUUGAGCAGCUCAAGUGCAGAAUGGACAUGAGUUUACUUCUGAGCCUUCAGGCUGCUUUGUGGUGGAGAAACAAAGCCUGCCUUGGAGGAAAUAUAUUGGCCUUGGCAGUGAUAGUAGCUCGCUGGUGUUUAACUCCAGGAGAGAAUGAACCUUUCUUAAAAACACUCUUCUGUUAGCAUAAUAUACUUCUCUGUCCAGAAAGUUGCUGUUGCCAACAACUUGAGAGGAUGAUGUGAAUCCUGAUGAUGCUACAAAAAUGCUCAAAAUAUCAACACCAAUUUCCCAGAGAAUGCUUAAUUCCAUGAAAGCUGAACAAAGAUCACACAAAAUCUGCUGCGUGAAUAAAUUAUGUGGCACAGGCAAAGGAGAGUCCUCAACAAGCAUUUGAGCAGAGAGGUGAAGGACAGGGCUACUCUGAAGAAAACAGUGCACUGGAUUUGCUGAGACCUUUGAAGGUAUGGCACAGCCUCUAGAAGAUGCCUGUUACCACAGGGACCAGGGAGGAAAUCUCUGCAAGGCCUUGCAAAGAAUGUUUUGAUUUCAGUGACAAAACCCUUGGAAAAAGGAAGCCCUGACGCGGUUCCACCACUGCUCAGUCUUGGGAGAACAGGGAGCCUGAAAUCCUCUGGCAAACUGCUUAGAAUCUGCAGGACCAUAUCCCUUCCUUCUUGGGGCAUGUGAAUUACAGAGCAAAUAGUCCCUUUGCUCAAUCUUGUGCUUCCCCUGAGAACUUGACUUUGAGAGAAGAGGAAGAAUUUGGUGAGAUGCAGUCAUGUUAUACACUCAGGAUGAGGUUUAGUGCAUUAAGUUCUGUGCUCCGGGUGGAACAGUCUCCUGCAUUUUGCUUUGGGAUUCACCUUUCCACACACAUGAUAAAACAUCCUCUUAUUUAACAUCCACCAGAAGCAAGGGCAGAAGCACUCUCACUUCAGUUGGAAAUGAACACCUGUACAUAAUGGAAUACUACUUAGCUACAAAGAAGGACACACUUGAGACAUUUGUAGGAAAA